ACAAUUUAGCGUGCGUUUGGUGCCUUUGCGCGCCCCGCCAAAGGCUGAAAAGGGAAUCCGGUGGGAAUCCGGAGCAGCCCGAACCUCUACUGUAUUUGCCGACAAGAAAGCACCGCCGUUUGGGUAACGGCAGCCAUUGCUCCCCCGGGAGUGAGAAGGCCGCUUUUGCGAAUGAAGCAUAAGUCAGGAGACCUGCCGCGCACGAGCUGUUGUUU
rnacentral:ncRNA from 22 species